rnacentral:rRNA from 1 species
UACGUAGGUGGCAAGCGUUGUCCGGAUUUACUGGGCGUAAAGGGCGUGCAGGCGGUUUGCUAAGUCUAGGGUGAAAGCUCCCGGCUCAACUGGGAGAGGUCCUUGGAUACUGACAGACUUGAGGGAGGCAGAGGAGAAUGGAAUUCCCGGUGUAGUGGUGAUAUGCGUAGAUAUCGGGAGGAACACCAGUGGCGAAGGCGGUUCUCUGGGCCUUACCUGACGCUGAGACGCGAAAGCGUGGGGAGCGAACCGG